GACGAACGCUGGCGGCGUGCUUAACACAUGCAAGUCGAACGGAAAGGCCCUGCUUUUGUGGGGUGCUCGAGUGGCGAACGGGUGAGUAACACGUGAGUAACCUGCCCUUGACUUUGGGAUAACUUCAGGAAACUGGGGCUAAUACCGGAUAGAAGCUCCUGCUGCAUGGUGGGGGUUGGAAAGUUUCGGCGGUUGGGGAUGGACUCGCGGCUUAUCAGCUUGUUGGUGGGGUAGUGGCUUACCAAGGCUUUGACGGGUAGGCGGCCUGAGAGGGUGACCGGCCACAUUGGGACUGAGAUACGGCCCAGACUCCUACGGGAGGCAGCAGUGGGGAAUAUUGCACAAUGGGCGGAAGCCUGAUGCAGCAACGCCGCGUGCGGGAUGACGGCCUUCGGGUUGUAAACCGCUUUCGCCUGUGACGAAGCGUGAGUGACGGUAAUGGGUAAAGAAGCACCGGCUAACUACGUG
rnacentral:rRNA from 1 species